rnacentral:lncRNA from 1 species
UGAAGAGAUGGGGUUUCAUCAUGUUGGCCAGGCUGGUCUCAAACUCCUGGCCUCAUGAUCCACCUGCCUUGGCCACCCAAAGCGGUGGGAUUACGGGCAUGGGCCACUGCACCUGGCCUCUAGAAGGCUGUAUUAUAAUUACCAUUAAUUACAUAUUGUCCUUUAUUGUCAUCAAAAUCAUGCCACUUCUUUGAAAAAUAAAAAAAUCAUCUGGGUGUGGUGGCUUAUGCCUAUAAUCCCAGCACUUUGGGAGGUCAAGAUGGGAGGAUCACUUGAGGCAAGUUCAACACCAGCCUGGUCAGUGUAGUAAGACCCCAUCUCUGUAUUUUUUAUAAGAAAAAAAAAAGGAAGGAAUAAAACAGAGUACAUAAUAUACUACAGUUUUUUUUUUAUAAAAAAGAGAAGAAACUAGGAUCUAUAUCCAUACUGGUUUUGUAUUGGUGGAAAAAACCUCUGGAAGAGUAAAUUUAAAACUAAUGGCCAUGGCCGGGCAUGGUGGCUCACGCACUCAAAUCUCAUCUCAAACUGUAAUCCCCACGUCGGAGGAGGGACCUGGUGGGAGGUGACUGGAUCACAGGAACAGUUUCUCCCCUGUUGUUCUUGUGAUAGUGAGUCAGUUCUCACAAGUUCUGAUGGUUUUAAAGUGUGGCAUCCCCCCUCACUCUCUCUGCUGCUGCCAUGUAAGAUGUGCCUUGCUUCCCCUUUGCCUUCCACUAUGACUGCUUGUUUCCUGAGGCCUCACAGCCAUGCAGAACUGUGAGUCAGUUAAACCUCUUUUCUUCAACAAUUACCCAGUCUCUGGUACUUCUCUAAAGCAGUGUGAAAAUGGACUAAUACAGACUGCUUUCACACUAGACUUUUUCAAGCCUUUUCAAAAACCCUAUGAAUGUAUUGCAUAUUUAGAAAAUUAAACAUGGUCUGAAAUGAAUAUAUAAAAAGGCUUAGCACUUUAAGAAAUCAGAGCCAGCCGGGCGC